UCGUACAACCGAGGUGCGAAGGCUGUCGCUGACCCUCAAAGGUCGUGCACGCCCGAGCGCUCUCACACAAUCCAUCUCACCUUUGUGCAUCACCGCGUGGGUCCCCUUUGCGGGAGGGCUUGCGUUUUCACAUAAAACUCGAUACAGUGUAGAAUGUUUCUUUUGCGGUCACACGCAAUCAAUA
rnacentral:misc_RNA from 1 species